rnacentral:rRNA from 1 species
GGCGAACGCUGGCGGCAGGCCUAACACAUGCCAGUCGAACGAACCUUUCGGGGUUAGUGGCGGACGGGUGAGUAACACGUGGGAACGUGCCUUUAGGUUCGGAAUAACUCAGGGAAACUUGUGCUAAUACCGAAUGUGCCCUUCGGGGGAAAGAUUUAUCGCCUUUAGAGCGGCCCGCGUCUGAUUAGCUAGUUGGUUGAGGUAAUGGCUCACCAAGGCGACGAUCAGUAGCUGGUCUGAGAGGAUGAUCAGCCACAUUGGGACUGAGACACGGCCCAAACUCCUACGGGAGGCAGCAGUGGGGAAUCUUGCGCAAUGGGCGAAAGCCUGACGCAGCCAGGCCGCGUGAAUGAUGAAGGUCUUAGGAUUGUAAAAUUCUUUCACCGGGGACGAUAAUGACGGUACCCGGAGAAGAAGCCCCGGCUAACUUCGUG